AACGAACGCUGGCGGCAGGCCUAACACAUGCAAGUCGAGCGAGGACUUCGGUCCUAGCGGCGGACGGGUGAGUAACGCGUGGGAACGUGCCCUUUGCUUCGGAAUAGCCCUGGGAAACUGGGAGUAAUACCGGAUGAGCCCUUUGGGGGAAAGAUUUAUCGGCGAAGGAUCGGCCCGCGUUGGAUUAGGUAGUUGGUGGGGUAAUGGCCUACCAAGCCGACGAUCCAUAGCUGGUUUGAGAGGAUGAUCAGCCACACUGGGACUGAGACACGGCCCAGACUCCUACGGGAGGCAGCAGUGGGGAAUCUUAGACAAUGGGGGAAACCCUGAUCUAGCCAUGCCGCGUGAGCGAUGAAGGCCUUAGGGUUGUAAAGCUAUUUCAGCUGGGAAGAUAAUGACGGUACCAGCAGAAGAAGCCCCGGCUAACUCCGUG
rnacentral:rRNA from 1 species